CCAGUGUAUCUUUUGGAUUCCUUCACUGCAUUGGCCACCGUGAGAGGGGAGUUUACAACGACCCGGUAAACCCCUCCCUAAGUGACUGUGGACCCCCUGCUGCCCUGCCCUGGCCAAGGAGACAAGGACCCCGAGAAAGGGAUGGAGCAGGAUUCAGGGGCGUUUCUUUGCUCCUAGAAGUAUUGGCAAGUGCUUCUCCCUGUGGUUCUAGAAAACUUAUUCAUUCUUCUCUUUCUUUCUUUCUUUCUUUCUUAUUUUAAACUUUUUAUUUGGCUUUAAAUUUACAGACAAUUAAUGUGUUUCAUCUGUUGUUAACAUUUUGGAAG
rnacentral:lncRNA from 1 species